AUUGAACGCUGGCGGCAGGCCUAACACAUGCAAGUCGAACGGUAGCACAGAGAGCUUGCUCUCGGGUGACGAGUGGCGGACGGGUGGGUAAUGUCUGAGAAACUGCCCGAUGGAGGGGGAUAACUACUGGAAACGGUAGCUAAUACCGCAUAACGUCGCAAGACCAAAGUGGGGGACCUUCGGGCCUCACACCAUCGGAUGUGCCCAGAUGGGAUUAGCUAGUAGGUGGGGUAAUGGCUCACCUAGGCGACGAUCCCUAGCUGGUCUGAGAGGAUGACCAGCCACACUGGAACUGAGACACGGUCCAGACUCCUACGGGAGGCAGCAGUGGGGAAUAUUGCACAAUGGGCGCAAGCCUGAUGCAGCCAUGCCGCGUGUAUGAAGAAGGCCUUCGGGUUGUAAAGUACUUUCAGCGGGGAGGAAGGCGGUGAAGUUAAUAGCUUCACCGAUUGACGUUACCCGCAGAAGAAGCACCGGCUAACUCCGUGCCAGCAGCCGCCGUAA
rnacentral:rRNA from 1 species